GCAGAGCACUCCUACGGGAGGCAGCAGUGGGGAAUCUUGGACAAUGGGGGCAACCCUGAUCCAGCCAUGCCGCGUGAGUGAAGAAGGCCUUAGGGUCGUAAAGCUCUUUCGCCUGUGAAGAUAAUGACGGUAGCAGGUAAAGAAACCCCCGGCUAACUCCGUGCCAGCAGCCGCGGUAAUACGGAGGGGGUUAGCGUUGUUCGGAAUUACUGGGCGUAAAGCGCGCGUAGGCGGACCAGAAAGUUGGGGUGAAAUCCCCGGGGCUCAACCCCGGAACUGCCUCCAAAACUCCUGGUCUUGAGUUCGAGAGAGGUGAGUGGAAUUCCGAGUGUAGAGGUGAAAUUCGUAGAUAUUCGGAGGAACACCAGUGGCGAAGGCGGCUCACUGGCUCGAUACUGACGCUGAGGUGCGAAAGUGUGGGGAGCAAACAGGAUUAGAUACCCUGGUAG
rnacentral:rRNA from 1 species